UUGCCAUAAGGCAGGUCAUAUCAAAGUAUAACCCUCUACCACCUGAGCCGAUCCCCCAAAACACUCCAAAGUGUCCGUAUGGAAAUGUGCAGAUGGAUUUUAUGACAACAAUUCAAGGAUCUCUUCAAACAACAAGCCCUGGUGGACCGAUCAAAUCUCGUUUUCCUCUCACCAUGGAACAGAUUAAGUUUUAUUAUGGUUUCAUCCUGUAUCA